CCUGUCCCCCCGUAUAUAUACGAGUAUUCUUCUCGAUUCUUCAACAAAUACAGUUAUACUUCGCACGCCAACAUUGCUCCUUCUCUCUCUCUCUCUCUCUCUCUCCAGGAGCGUGUCUGUUUCAAAAGAGGAAUGCUAGUUUUCAGAUAUAGUCAUAUUCAAUAGGGGAAUCUGAGGGAAGUAUUACAAACUCACCGAUGAUGGAAAAAAUGGAUGACCGCGUCUAUUCUUCUAUUUUCAAAGGCCAAGGCUCAUAUGGAAUGGUUGGUGCUGUCCUUGUAGCCAUAGCCGUGCCUUUUUUUCUGUCUGUGAUACUUGUGGGGAAGAAAAAGGCGAAACAGAGAGGGGUUCCUGUACAGGUUGGUGGUGAGGCUGGUUUUGCAAUGCGCAAUUCUAGAUUCGCCAAAUUGGUUGAAGUUCCUUGGGAAGGAGCCACUACUGUGGCAGCUCUUUUUGAGCAGUCUUGUAAGAAGCAUUCAAGGGAACGAUUUCUUGGAACGAGAAAGCUAAUUAGUAGGGACUUUGUUACUGCAAGUGAUGGCAGGAAGUUUGAGAAGCUACACCUAGGAGAAUAUCAAUGGGAGACAUAUGAGCAGGCCUUUGAACGCACUUGCAAUUUUGCAUCAGGAAUUGUGAAUUUAGGUCAUGAUGUGGAUACUCGUGUUGCCAUUUUCUCUGAGACUCGGGCGGAGUGGUUACUUGCCUUUCAGGGUUGCUUCCGGCAGAACAUUACGAUAAUUACAAUUUAUGCUUCUCUAGGCGAGGGUGCCCUGAUCCACUCACUCAAUGAGACCCAAGUAUCAACUGUGAUUUGCGAUUCUAAGCAAUUGAAGAAGUUGGCUGCAAUAAGCUCGAGCCUAGAAACUCUAAAGAACAUCAUUUAUUUUGAAGAUGAUGACACUGGAGGGGACUUAAACUCAUCUGGAAAUCUGAGCACUUGGAAGGUUACUCCUUUUUCUGAGGUGGAAAAAUCGGGGAAAAGAAGUCCUGUUCUUCCAAGACUACCUAUCAAGAAGGAUAUUGCAGUUAUCAUGUAUACAAGUGGUAGUACAGGUCUACCAAAGGGAGUUAUGAUGACCCACGGUAACCUUGUAGCCACUGCUGCUGCAGUUAUGCCAGUGAUUCCAAACCUGGGAAGCAAUGAUGUUUUCUUGGCAUACUUGCCUCUGGCUCAUGUUUUUGAAUUGGAGGCUGAGAUUGUCAUGACUGCUGCAGGUGUUGCCAUUGGUUAUGGUUCGGCAAUGACAUUAACAGACACUUCUAACAAAAUCAAGAAGGGAACCAAGGGAGAUGCAUCUGCGUUAGGGCCCACACUUAUGACUGCAGUUCCAGCAAUUUUAGAUCGUGUUCGAGAUGGAGUUUCAAAGAAGGUUGAGGAAAAGGGAGGUUUUGCUAAGAAACUUUUCAGUUUUGGAUACAAGCGUCAGCUGGCUGCUAUAGAAGGCAGCUGGCUUGGAGCCUGGGGAGUAGAGAGAUUACUCUGGGAUGUCAUCAUUUUCAAAAAGAUACGUUCUGUACUUGGGGGGAACAUCCGGAUGAUGCUUUGUGGUGGAGCUCCUCUAUCCGGUGAUACACAACGAUUUAUCAACAUCUGCAUGGGGGCUCCUAUUGGUCAAGGAUAUGGCCUCACAGAAACGUGUGCUGGAGCUGCUUUUAGCGAGGCGGAUGACACUUCAGUUGGGCGUGUUGGUCCGCCACUUCCUUGUUGCUACAUCAAGCUUGUUUCUUGGGAAGAAGGUGGGUACACGACAUCUGACACCCCAAUGCCUCGAGGAGAGGUUGUAGUAGGAGGCGCUACUGUCACUGCUGGGUACUUCAACAAUGAAGCAAAAACAAAAGAGGUGUUCAAGGUUGAUGAGAAGGGCAUGCACUGGUUCUAUACUGGUGACAUUGGACGAUUUCACCCUGAUGGAUGCCUUGAAGUUAUUGACAGAAAGAAGGAUAUAGUCAAACUUCAACAUGGAGAGUACGUCUCCCUUGGCAAGGUUGAAGCAGCUUUGAUGACAAACAACUAUGUAGACAAUAUCAUGGUAUAUGUAGAUCCUUUCCACAACUUCUGUGUAGCUCUAGUCGUCCCCAUAAAGCAGGCCCUUGAGAAAUGGGCCAAAGAAUCUGGCAUCAGUUACGAAGGUUUUCCCGAUUUGUGUAACAAAGUGGAAGCUGUAAAAGAGAUCCAGCAAUCUCUUUCGAAGGUUUGUUUCCUUUUACGUUUGACGGCUGAUAUUUCGUAGCAAUAUUAUAGUAGCCAAGUUUACAUAUCAACUGUCAGUGGAUUCAUAAAAUUAGAAUACAAGUCCAGACAUCUAAUAUUUUAUCUUAAAGACCAAUGGGGUAAAUUUUUUUUUUCUUUCCCCGGGAUUGAGUUUUAGAAAAGAUGAAGAAACAAAUUCAUAUAGAUGACCCCAAUUAUUGAGGCCUAAGGCUCAAUUUGGUUGGUUGGGGUUCUCCAUAAAACAGGAUGCCUGUCAUUUAUUACUAAAAUUAGUACAUCAUUACAACCAUUUCGUCACUAAUACCUCUUAUUGUUAUGUAUACAUUCCGUCUUUUUUUUCUUCGACUUGUCGAGCUUUUUUGAACUACACAACUUAUUGAACUUGAUUAUCCCACGGUGAAUCUACGUUUCCAUUUCUGCUUCUGCAAUAUACCUUUAUGCAUCCGUAACCUGUGUGCCUCUAUGCAUUGCCAUAACAGUUUACUCUUUUUAUUGGAUUACUAAAACAGGUAUACUUGGAAAGGGGGCUUGUUAGGAAUUUUACGGCUCAAAAUACUAAUAGCUACUAAAUUUUAUUCGUAUAAUUAGAUGUCAAAGAUUGACCUUGUUAUGAGUUUUGAGCACUUUAUUCAUGUGUAUGGUAAUAUGCAGGUGGGGAAAGAUGCAAAACUAGAAAAGUUUGAAAUUCCAUCAAA